rnacentral:rRNA from 1 species
GAUCCUGGCUCAGGAUGAACGCUAGCGGGAGGCUUAACACAUGCAAGUCGAGGGGCAGCAUAAUGUAGCAAUACGUUGAUGGCGACCGGCAGACGGGUGAGUAACGCGUAUGCAACUUACCCUGUACAGAGGGAUAACCCGGAGAAAUUCGGACUAAUACCACAUGAAGAUAUAGAUGGGCAUCCAUUUAUAUUAAAAGCUACGGCGGUACAGGAUGGGCAUGCGUAACAUUAGCUAGUUGGCGGGGUAAAGGCCCACCAAGGCGACGAUGUUUAGGGGACCUGAGAGGGUGAUCCCCCACACUGGUACUGAGACACGGACCAGACUCCUACGGGAGGCAGCAGUGAGGAAUAUUGGUCAAUGGGCGGAAGCCUGAACCAGCCAUUCCGCGUGCAGGAAGACGGCCCUAUGGGUUGUAAACUGCUUUUCCAGUGGAAGAAUAACUUCGACUAGUCGGGGGAUGACGGUACACUGGGAAUAAGCAUCGGCUAACUCCGUGCCAGCAGCCGCGGUAA